CCUACGGGUGGCAGCAGUGCGGAAUAUUGGUCAAUGGACGAGAGUCUGAACCAGCCAAGUAGCGUGAAGGAUGACUGCCCUAUGGGUUGUAAACUUCUUUUAUAUGGGAAUAAAAUGUUCCACGUGUGGGAUUUUGUAUGUACCAUAUGAAUAAGGAUCGGCUAACUCCGUGCCAGCAGCCGCGGUAAUACGGAGGAUGCGAGCGUUAUCCGGAUUUAUUGGGUUUAAAGGGAGCGUAGGUGGAUUGUUAAGUCAGUUGUGAAAGUUUGCGGCUCAACCGUAAAAUUGCAGUUGAAACUGGCAGUCUUGAGUACUGUAGAGGUGGGCGGAAUUCGUGGUGUAGCGGUGAAAUGCUUAGAUAUCACGAAGAACUCCGAUUGCGAAGGCAGUUCACUGGACUGCAACUGACACUGAGGCUCGAAAGUGUGGGUAUCAAACAGGAUUAGAUACCCCAGUAGUC
rnacentral:rRNA from 1 species